GCGGAGGUAGCCAAGUUUGGUCAAAGGCGCAAGGCUCAGGACCUUGUCUCGCAGGAGUCCAAGGGUUCAAAUCCCUUCCUCCGCA
rnacentral:tRNA from 1 species